GGAGUCGGCCAGGCAGCCGCUGUACUCGUUGGCAGUCAAUGCGGGGCAGAGGAAAGUCCGGGCUCCAUAGAGCGGGAUGCGGGCUAACCACCCGGCGUGGCGACACGACGAACAGGGCCACAGAGACGAGUCCCAAGCAACGCAGUACCGCAGGCGCAAGCCUGCGGUGGCUUGGGGGUGAAACGCGGCAACCUCCAUCCGGAGCAACACCAAAUAGGCAAGCAGGGCGCGGAAGGCGACUUCGGCGCUGGAGGCCGGCUCGGUCGGGCUUGCGGGUAGGUGGCAACAGGGCUAGGGGGCGAAAGCGCCCGAACCCGACGAUCCGGGAGGUGACUCCCGGACCAGAGGAAUGGCUGUCGGGGGAGCCUCUUUCGGGGGGUUCCCUGCCACAGAACCCGGCUUAUCGGCCGGCUCCCGCU
rnacentral:RNase_P_RNA from 1 species